CUCAAAAAGAGUGGAGACCGGAGCAUUCAGCAGCACAGACACGCAGAGCAACGGCUUUCAGUCUCAUUACAUUCACUAUAAAAUGAAUGGAUUCAUCCCAUGCCUUUCCGGAUAAAAAAAAAAAAAAAAAGAAGAAGACCAAGUUACAACUGUUCUGAAAGAGACCUGGGAUGGAAGGAGAAAGUAAAAGAGAAAAAUGGUCUCGAGAUAUAAAGUGGACUUUUCAUGCUGACAGAUAUGAAUCUUUAGUAGAAGAAGGAGAAGAAGAAGACCGGAGAGAGCAAAAGGAGGAGAGGAAAUUUAAAAAGAAAGCUAAAUACAAGAAGUACAGAAAGAACGUGCGAAGGGCCCUGCACUACACUUGGAAAUGCUUCCUGCUGGGUCUUCAGAGCUUCUCAGCGGCCUACUCGACCUCACUGGCACCCACUGCAAAUCGAAUGCCAGAAUUCCAGCGGCCACAGACCAAGGGAUGAGAAAAUUGUCUCCUUUCAUUUGAGUUGGUUUAUUCAUACCUUUGUGACCCCUUUUGUGACAAGCUUCUUUUCACAGAAAUUUGGGAAGAAUGGUAACGAACCACAUCUACAAGAACUAAAUGCUGCAUGGGGUGUGAUGGGCAGUUUAUGGUUUCAACAGAGACAGUCCCCUGCACUAUACACAUUUUUCUUGUGGAACUAGAAGCUUCCUGGCAUGUAUGGAAGGAUUGAAAAUGAGCUGAGAAAACACAAGUGACAGCAGAAUAUUAUGCUGCAUUAUUUGACUGUAUUUACCUUCUCAUGUAGAACUAAACGCCUUCCUUUCUUCAUACAAAUUCCUGAAUCCUGACUGCACACACUCCAUAUCUAAUAAGAAGCUGGCUCAGAAUUGGACUUGUAGCAUUAAAGAUAAACUGUAGUUAACAUGUGGGAUGUGCAGCUCAAUGCAGAAUUAGGAUGGAAAAUGUUACAUUCUCAAUAUCAGAUAGAACAAUGCAGACUGUAUCGUAUGCUUUUUAAUUUAUAACUGCACUGGUGAAAAAUCUUUUUACCAUAUUUGUAAAAUAUGAAUAUAAAC
rnacentral:lncRNA from 1 species